rnacentral:misc_RNA from 1 species
AAAAAAAAAAAAUUAAAGAAUUAAAAAUAUAUAAAAUAAUAUUUAAUUAAGGCCAUUCUUGUCACGAACUCAAAUCACUGAUUUGAUUCAGAACAAGCCUGUGGGGGGAAAGUGGAAAUUCUACCAGCUAGGAAAAUUCUAUGCAUGGUCCACCAAAUUUUGGUGUUUUUAGGUAGUGCCAGAAAACGUUGAUUCGCCAUGUUACAUAAGUAAUAUCUCGUGACACAAGAGCCAAACUCUGUCUGUUUUGAGACAAAGAAUCUCAUAAACUUUUGCUAAACAAUACAAAAUUACAAGUUUGGCUUCAAUAAAUUAAAAGAAAGACAUCAAUGCACGUUUCCCCAGCAAUGGGACAAGUGAAAAAAAAACAUUAUUAUUAUUGUCUGAUUGUGCAAUACAUGGCAAUUGAUUUUCAGGAAUAAAAUCUAUUUAUAAUUCUAAGUUCAAUCAAUCUCUUCCACAUUUAUUUGUGCAUUAUUCAUGACCUAUACAAAAUUCGAGAUUAGCAUAAAAAAUUGCUAGUCGAUGUAAUUUAUGUAUUUAAACAUUGAUUCACGUGAAUUUCACGUAUAUUUUGAGACUUACGUGAAUCAAUAAUUUAUAUAUAUCGAUCGAAUUAUUCGUAAUUGACCUAAUAUUUUUCAAUUUAAAUUAGAUUUGAGUAUUCCAUUAUAUAUUUUUCUACUUGUGUAUAUGAAAAAUAAUAAUAAAAAGGACAACAAUAAUACCAUGAGAGGCCCAUGAAGAGAAAG